UACGUAGGGUGCGAGCGUUGUCCGGAAUUACUGGGCGUAAAGCGUGCGUAGGCGGUUUGUUAAGUCCGUUGUGAAAGCCCUGGGCUCAACCUGGGAAUUGCAGUGGAUACUGGCGAGCUAGAGUGCGGUAGAGGAUGGUGGAAUUCCCGGUGUAGCGGUGAAAUGCGUAGAGAUCGGGAGGAACACCCGUGGCGAAGGCGGCCAUCUGGACCAGCACUGACGCUGAGGCACGAAAGCGUGGGGAGCAAACAGG
rnacentral:rRNA from 1 species